AAUGAUCUGACAAGAGACAAAGCGAACGCCAGGGUUAAAUACAAGAGGUAACGAGCAAACACGGGACAGGUGAUACAGCAGGUGGAACACAUCAGGGCGGGGCAGGACAGUCAGACAGGAGGGAAACCACAAGACAAAGUAAAACGAGACAAGA